AUUGAACGCUGGCGGCAUGCUUUACACAUGCCAGUCGAGCGGUAACAGGCCUUCGGGUGCUGACGAGUGGCGAACGGGUGAGUAAUGCAUCGGAACGUACCCAGAGGUGAGGGAUAACGCAGCGAAAGCUGUGCUAAUGCCGCAUGUGAUCUGAGGAUGAAAGCGGGGGACCGAGCAGCAAUGUUUGGCCUCGCGCCUUUGGAGCGGCCGAUGUCGGAUUAGCUAGUUGGUGGGGUAAAGGCCUACCAAGGCGACGAUCCGUAGCUGGUCUGAGAGGACGACCAGCCACACUGGGACUGAGACACGGCCCAGACUCCUACGGGAGGCAGCAGUGGGGAAUUUUGGACAAUGGGCGCAAGCCUGAUCCAGCAAUGCCGCGUGCGGGAAGAAGGCCUUCGGGUUGUAAACCGCUUUUGGCAGGAACGAAACGGUGUCCGCUAAUACCGGGCGCUAAUGACGGUACCUGCAGAAUAAGCACCGGCUAACUACGUG
rnacentral:rRNA from 1 species